rnacentral:rRNA from 1 species
GAUGAACGCUAGCUACAGGCUUAACACAUGCAAGUCGAGGGGCAGCAUGGAACUUAGCUUGCUAAGUUUCGAUGGCGACCGGCGCACGGGUGAGUAACACGUAUCCAACCUACCGUUUACUACGGGAUAGCCUUCUGAAAAGGAGAUUAAUACCGUAUGGCAUUCUAAAGUUUCAUGACAUUAGAAUUAAAGGUUUACCGGUAAUCGAUGGGGAUGCGUUCCAUUAGAUAGUAGGCGGGGUAACGGUCCACCUAGUCUACGAUGGAUAGGGGUUCUGAGAGGAAGGUCCCCCACAUUGGAACUGAGACACGGUCCAAACUCCUACGGGAGGCAGCAGUGAGGAAUAUUGGUCAAUGGACGAGAGUCUGAACCAGCCAAGUAGCGUGAAGGAUGACUGCCCUAUGGGUUGUAAACUUCUUUUGUACGGGAAGAAACACUCCUUCGUGAAGGAGCUUGACGGUACCGUAAGAAUAAGGAUCGGCUAACUCCGUG